rnacentral:rRNA from 1 species
UAGUCGGGACCUAAGCUGAGGCCGAAAGGCGUAGGUGAUGGACAACAGGUUGAUAUUCCUGUACUACCGAUAACCGUUUGAGAGAAGGGAUGACACAGUAGGAUAAGCUAAGCACACUGUUGGUUAUGUGUGCCCAAGCAUUGAGGCAGUCAAAGUAGGUAAAUCCGCUUUGAUAAUGCUGGGAUGGGAUGGGGAGCGAAAUUUAGUAGCGAAGUAGCUGAUUUCACACUGUCAAGAAAAGUCUCUAUCGAGGUUAAAGGUACCCGUACCGCAAACCGACACAGGUGGGUGAGGAGAGUAUCCUAAGGCCAGCGAGAGAACUGUUGUUAAGGAACUCGGCAAAAUGACCCCGUAACUUAGGGAUAAGGGGUGCCACCAUCAGGUGGCCGCAGAGAAUAGGCCCAAGCGACUGUUUACCAAAAACAUAGGUUUCUGCUAAGUCGCAAGACGAUGUAUAGGAGCUGACGCCUGCCCGGUGCUGGAAGGUUAAGGGGA